UACGGAGGAGGCUAGCGUUAUUCGGAAUUACUGGGCGUAAAGCGCACGUAGGCGGGCUGUUAAGUCGGGGGUGAAAUCCCGGGGCUCAACCCCGGAACUGCCUUCGAUACUGGCAGCCUUGAGUGCGAGAGAGGUUAGUGGAAUUCCGAGUGUAGAGGUGAAAUUCGUAGAUAUUCGGAGGAACACAAGUGGCGAAGGCGGCUCACUGGGUCGAUACUGACGCUGAGGUGCGAAAGCGUGGGGAGCAAACAGG
rnacentral:rRNA from 1 species